CAGAUAGUGCAUUUACAGUAUUCAGGGCCCGUGUAAACGCGCAUCUGGCACGAGCCCCAACUGCCCUGUAAUCUCAUAUUGGCUCGCUUCCGUUUAGCUCUCUCGUUCGUGCUCUCUCGUUUGCCCACGACUCUUUAUGUUUACUCCCUUCCUAUCUUUUGCUCUCAUGUUGUUCGUCUCCUUCGUUAUUCUUUUCUACUUAUACACCCGCGGUUUCCCUUAAUUAACCCCUUUAAUGCGCGUUGGCAUAUAUUUUCUUUUAAACGAGGGACUUCUUGAAAACUGUCAUGGCGUCGCUCGUGUCUGUUGUUCGAUUAACGCGCGUAUUGAAUCUUCCUAUUUUCGUCAAUUUAUAAAUACCGAUUUAAAUAGACACGAAGUAAUUUAGUAAUUGAUAUGGAUUUAAAUAAUGUUCCUCUUUUAAAACGUUCAUCUCUAUUAAUCUGUGCGAUUAUACGAAGAUACGAAUUUUCUCAGUUUUAAGCUUCGAUUUUUAAUCACGCGCACAAUACGAUGCGCGCGCAGACGAUUCGAUUAUGUUGAGAACGUCAGAUCACAAGGCGUCGCGUCACGCUUCCUCCUCGUUAAUUUAACUCUCGACGGAAGUGUUUUCUGCUUCGCGGAAAGUGUGAUUGAGCCUGACAGUGGAAAGAGAGAAACGCGUCAAGCCCGCGGGCAAAUUGCUUUCCGACCGGCACCUGGACUACCUCUCUCGUAGGUUUUAUUCCCGUCACGUUAAAGGACAAUAGGAGAGGAUGAAACAAAAGAACGGUCGUUUUCGCGUUACUAGUUUCAAUGCUUCUAACACAACGCCAGCCUGGAUUAAUUAAUUCUCAUCGUGCAAACUAGCCCUUCGUUUUCAUUUUUUUUCUCUCCUUCCUCUUUUUUAUGACGGGGGAAACACUUUCCGACAUCGUAGAAAAUCUUUUAUGUUUGCGCGUUAUUCGAUUUUUUUUCGGUGUAUAUUUUUUUAGAUAAAAGUUUUAAUCAAAAAUAUUUGUAGUUAUAUAUCACGGAACAAUUGCUUUAGUUGAUUCAAUUAAUUUCUAAAUGAUAUCGAUAGUCGAAUAUAAAAGUGUUCCACGAUGAAUCGUCUAUGUAAGGGAUGUCAGCUGAUACCACUUUCCUCCGUUAAAAAGUCAAAUGAGGAGAAGAGACGUCUCUAAUAAUAGCCUGUCCCCGGUGCCGCGACGCUCUGGCGGCGUCGGGGCGCACUCGUUAUUUGCAGUUAAUAUAACACCUUUACGCAUGUAAUUAAAAUCGAUGUUUCUCUUUUAUGAACAACUUUCGACACGUUCUUAGCAAUUCACACUAGCACGUGAAGGAUAAACAUUGAAUGGAUCACAUUCGAAUAUUGCAAUUUUUUAAACGAGCAACGAGUGACGACGAAACUGAUCUGUUGAGAUUGUUUGUUCUAUACGUACAGGUUACGUCACGUGACGUCAUGCGAACGCGUAAUAUUAACCUCACGUGGGACAAACUAUUUAUUAGAAUACGCGGCCUUUUUUUAUUCUUUUUAAAUUACCUGGAGAUUCGUAUUGAGUUUAUUAUUCUUAUUUUAUGUGUACUAAAUUCUUAAUUUUUUUAUCACAGCAAAGGAAUUAAUUUUCUUACUUUAAUAUUUGUUAUUCACUAAUUUUCAAGGCUAUUUAAUGAAUUAUACAUUUAAAAAUUACAGGUAAUUUUACAGGUAAUUUUAAAAGUUUACGUCACACACGAUAUUAUCGAUGUAACACACGAUUAAAAUGCUGACUUAAAGAAAUACACGAAGUCAGUCGAUUAUACAAGCUUCUUAAAAGUUCUUGAACGACACCGAUGCUACUACCGAGAGGACAGUUACGUGAUGAUGCGUUUAAAAGUGUAAUAAUGGCAUAAGACGCGGACACAUUAUUACACAAUCAUGUUCGCGGCUUAGACCUUCGAUAAUAUUGGCCGAACGUUAGUAGAACCUUGCGUGCCAUUUUGAUCACGAAUACUCUUCCGCCAAUUGUAACAUACAUAAAUAGAUAAUCCUUGGUAUUAGAAGAAAAUUAGAAAAAAACGACAGUAGCUACGUAAAAUUAUCUACCUAAUACUACCUUAUAUAUCACUAACUCAACUAUAUGAUUAUAUAAGGAAAUUGUCGAUAGAAUCUUAUUAAAUACAUUUUUAAACAAUGUAUCGCGUGUUGAUAUAAAAAAUUGACAAAAAGUGAUAAAAAAUAUUUCGCGAUAAAGUAAAAGAUCAUCACUAACUCGCAAAGUCCGCGAUCUUUUACCGACAGAGCAAUGCAAUUGUGAUCCACAGCGUGCAGUCUAAUUAACCUGUUGUACGUUACACAACGCGACGAACUAUGCGUGAAUUCGAUAAAAGAUUCGCAAAAAAAGCACUGAAAGGUUCGACGUUGAUCGAACGCGCUACCACGCCAACAUUAUCGACAAGACAAUUGUAAUUUACAUGCGUUACGCAAUCAUGUCCGAGAGCGCGGCUCGAAAUAUUCACUGUACGCUUCGAGACUACAUUUCGAUUAAUAAACCGUCGAGUCGAUUAUUGUAGUUGACGAUCUAUCCCAGAUUAUAUAAUCGAAAGAUGGACCGUGGAACGGUUAAAGAUAAACCUGAGGCGCGCGAACCCGACUCGAAAAACAAACGCAGCUUCUUGUGACACAGCACCGCGUCCGACCGAGGCACUGCUGCCAGUGGCAACUGCAACUCAUGCUCCGUGCUCCACGGAAUACAGUCGAGAGAUCUUAAACGUUCGUUACACAAUUACGACCUUGAAGACACACAGUAGCGUGUUCAGGAAUUUAUCCGACGAAAUCGAUUCGGAAUUCGAGAUUCUCCGCGUUGCCGACCAGGCUUUGUGUAUUUAUACGAAGGCGCGUAUGUAUGUAUUUACGUGGCUAUAUUUCGAACGGUACUGUACUCGUGCACCGAGCCCGACACACAUACGACAGCGACACCUCGGCGACGACUGGGAACGAUAUUUACGCUCGAAACAUCGAAUCGACUGAAAGAAGAGAUCUUACGAUCGUUUUCACAAUAUUGAGUAAUCCUCGCAGAUAUGUACGUUCUUAUGAUUGAUCGUGAUAAACCACCGGAAAGAACCACUCCGAUGUACUUAUAGAUUAUCUAACAAAACAAAUUACUACAGAAAGAUUUCAACACCGAAUAAAGACGAUGCAAAAUUCAAAGCGGGUACACGUGUAUAUGCGUGACGAUCAACCGUUGCAACCUAACCCGAGGGGGGCAAAGCGAGAUGGUUGGCGGGGACCAGGCACACGAAAAUUGAUUUCGAUCGAUCAAGGUAUACGACCCAGGCGUACAAUAGGAAAACCAAACGAUCGUGCGCGCGAUUCUCCACGAAAAACACGACACGACGUUAAACGCACACGCACACGCGCACGCAAGCACAUACACACACAUACACACAGAGGAAGAGAGAAUAUAUACGACACGCGCGACGACUAGUUGACGACUAGAGUAGUAGUCAUGGUGCUGUAGCGAGCAGCCACAGUGAACUACGAUAUGUGACGGUAAGCCGUUGAGCAGCAGCAGCAGCAGCAGCAAGCAGAAACGGCGCUACAUUCUCGUCUCUAUCUCGACUCUGUUAUACAAUCCACACGCAUAUAUCGGUUCUUUCUGCUUAGACCAGUGUUUCCGCAACCGAUCUGUGAGGAGAACGAUGUUUUUAGGCUCUGAUGAAAGAACGUUAGAAACUACUGUAUCGUUCCUUUGGUCUGCAGUUGAUAGGGAAAAUGCAGAGAACAAUAGUAGUUGCGACUGAGAUUUCAAAGAUUUCAUGGAUUUGUGUAACACGAGUUAGAAAGCACGUUAGAAGAAGGAACAAACCGAAGCUAACAUACUUCGCUAACCAAAUCGCUAUUUAUAGCGAUGGUGCGGAUGGGCUGCUGGUGGGAAACUAAAAUUCUAUUAAUAGAGUCAUUCUUGUUGUUAUUUGUGAAAGGUAGAUUUCAUCUGUUAAGAAUUUGAUUUUUACAGAUGAUUUUAUUAGAGUUUAAUCUGGCUAUUUUUGGUAGCAAUUAAAUUUGUUAUUCUGCUGUGUUUUCUAUUUUGUAACAAGGAGAAGAAGAUGGGAAAACAUAAAAAGACGACAGAGUUGUAUUUCUAUCGGAGUAGGUGAAUAUUUUAGUUUGUAGAAGAGAUGUUUUAAGAAAGGCAAUUUAGGGAGCACUAUAGCAGAAACUAGUGACUCAAUGCGCGCGCCGAAUCAGUCUCCCUUAAUGUGUGUUAGCGACGUACGAAGAUAGAAGACAAAUGGAAGAAAACAUGUAAAAAGCAAUUGCUGCUGCUCUAUCGUGCGUGCUGCCGUCGAUUGAGGUGAAUAGUGCCAAGGGACAAAGAUUAAUGACUCUAUAAUUAUUUACUUCUUUUAAAACUUAGGAAGACUCUCUAACACGAGAAUUUGCUAUAAUUGAGUUAAAAACUAUCAAAAAGGAAACUAAAAAAAGUUCAUUCUAAGGUUAAGCUUAAGGAAACUCAGAUGACAAAUGGUCUUUAGAAGUCUUGAAGAAUAAUUAAUUCCCUAUAAUUCCUAAUCUAUAUUUCGCCUUGGAAAAAGGAAAAGAUGUUAAAAACAUUGAUUCUACGAAUCGUGCUUUGAUCGAAACUCGAUACGGAUAAAUCGGGAAAGUAAAAAUGAAACAGGAAACGAACGAAGAAGAUGGAGGGCGGCAAGUAAACGAGGCGGACGCUCGUGAGAAAAAUCCAGGGACGAUCAACGUAGUUUUCAAGCGAGGUAAAAGCCACAGAGAGCAGUGGUGGUUGUAAUUGGACCACUUUGCCGUUAAACGAGCUUAACGAUCGAUUCUGCCUUCCACUCUAAUGACAUAAUGCAGAGAGGCGACGGAAUGGAUCUCCUGACCAGUGACGUUGUUUUAAUGAUGCGAGCGUCACCGGUUGAUCCCGCGACGAAUCAUCCACUGACCUGUUCUACCGACUCAUCUCCGGAUAUAUAUAUAUAAGUCACAUACUGCAUUCCAACUGAGAAAAGCGGAUGAAGUAUUCUUAUUUAAUUAAUUUAAUUAACACAGAUUUAAUCAACACUUGCUACUAUACAAACUGGUAUUAUACAAUUACCAGAUUUCUCAUUAGGGAACAAAUAAUUAUAUACAUACAUUGCUGGUUAUGAGUAGUAGAACACCUGGGCUCUUUUGCACAAUUGGACUAGUAUUACUAGACAUAUUAUUAGAACAAUAUUAUUAGAAAUUGUUAUAAAUUAUCAAGACUAAUAAAUUUUCUUGCAUAUAAUAGCAAUAGGUUUGAUAAUGUAAGUGUAACUUAGAAUCUUUAGAACUUCUUUAAUUUUCUAGUUACAUAUUUUAUUAUGAAUCUGUUAUUUCAUUCACGCUAUAUAUGUCUUAUAAUACGAACUACGAUAUGAGAUAAAAUUUAAUGUAAACUUAUAUCGUGAGGAAAUUUAUAACUUUUCAAUGAAUGUAACCAACAGGUAUAGGAGUCCUAAUACUUAUGGUCAGUAGUAUACUUCAACCAUUCACCUAUGAGAAACCUCUCUUGCUCUCCAUACAAAUCAACCUCACUUUAAAAAUACCAUUACAUCACAUUAGAUCACAUAGAAGAACACAUAAGGACGAC